GAUGAAAGGACACUGUCAAGGUUAGUUAAGUGAAAUAGACUUGUGUUUCCAUUGUCUCUUCUGGUAAGUUUCCACUCUUGUACUUCUUGUAAGAAAAACCGAGGGAGCUUCUUGUGAGCCUUCUUGUGAGUGGGAGCAUCUAGAUCUGCCUUUCUCAACCUUGGGUGCCCAGGUGUUAUUGGACUACAACUCCCAUCAUCCCUGACCACUGGUCCUGCUAGGCUGUGAUGAUGGGAGCUGUAGUCUAACAACAUCUGGGGACCCAAUGUUGAGAAAGGCUGAUCUAUAUCAUAUCAGAAUAGCAAUGCACAGUGAAGCUGAGCGGGGUGGGUGGGUUCUUGUUUCCUCUGGAUACUAGAGGAAACCUCACACCCAACAGCUUCUGGAGGGCAACAACACUGAUAAUCCCUGAAGCCAGCUGGGGCUGGUGGAAGUCCUGCAACAUCUGGCAGACACCACAUUGGCUAUCCUUGCUGCAUACCAAUGGCAUAAAUACAGCCUGCCUUCUUAACUGAACUGCUGUCCAAUGUAAUUAAUGUAUUCCUUCUACACAUCCAUCCCAAUGGCAUGAACGUGGUGCACAAAAGAUUUCAAAACAAAGGCAAUAGAUGGAAACACAAAGAGACAGUGGAGUGUCUGUCAACCUGCCUUUCCAAUUACUCCUUCCUGCCAACUUCCUGAGUGGGUGCAUGAACUCUCUUUGGCCAAACUGCUGAGGGAGGAUGAUGUUAUGGCUGGGGGGAAUCAUGUGGCCCCCAAGUAGCUUGACCAAGGAGAGCCUCACUUUAUUUUUUUGCUUAGGGACCCAAAGGAAUGAUAAAUAAUGCUGGUUUCUUGAUUUUAACCUUUCAUUUGACUGCCCUUUGUUUCUGUAUAUGUGGAAGAUAAAACUUUCAGCAGGAUUGCAGGCAGGGCUUUCAUAUCGUCGUCCUUUUUGCAGGACUGAGGGUCAAUGGAAACAUCCUAAUGCAGAGCUGAAGAGGAUGGUGAGGGCUUACUUAACUCUUCCCCUCUAAGUCAUUCUGCUCUUCCAUUAGUUUUAGAUCUUUUUUUCUGGACUCCAGAACCCAGGUGGGAGAAAGUGGCUUUGGGGAGACAUUGGCAGAUAGGAACAAGGGGGUGUGGGAAGGGUCCAAGGUCUGUGCAAACGCAUCUGUGUUGCAGAUAACCACACUGAGCACAUAGAUUCCAGUCGGCAGGGCAAGCCUGAGCAUCAUCAGUAGGGCUGUCGGACUCCCCCAGGGCUGACCUGAAGUCUCCAGAUUUGCCUGGCCACUACCAAGUGACAGGGAGAGGGCUUAAGUUUCCUACUGGGAAGGGUGCCUCUUAAAUUUGGAUUUAUUUAUUAAAGGGACUGCAUGCAGCUUUGGGCCCUGAAAUCCCAGGGUCUGGGAUGCUCCUGACCUGGCAACCAUAGACAUAAUAGAAUCAUAUAAUUGUAGAGUAGGAAAGGGUCCCAAGGAUCAUCUAGAAUCCCUGACAGAUGGCCAUCCAACUUCUGUGUGAAAAUCUCAGAUGAAGGAGUCUGCCUUCCAUAUGGCAGCCCUUAACCUAUUUGAAGUUGGCUACCAUAUCACCUCUCUUGUCUUCUCUCACCAGGCUAGAUUGUACUCAACUCCCUCAACCAUUCCUCACAAAGAAAGAAGUGGGGCUAGUUAGUACGGCUCCUUCACACAUUUCAUCUUCACGAUUGAUACUUCUGAAGAAAGCUUUUGUUGGCUUUGCUGUAAAGCUGUCAGUCUUAAGAAUCUGGACUGAACACAGCAUCAUCACCUAACUCUCUUGCUUGUUUCUGUUCUGAAGUAAUCAGCUACCUGAAUGUAGCUUUUUGACCAGACACACUUUCUGUAGAUGUGCACAGAGGAGACAUUUGUCUAGGAAUGGCAUGGUCAACUUGUCAACAGAAAAGUGGGGGUUUCCUGCCCUCUGUUGGAGAAAUACAGAUUCUGCAGGAAGGCAAAGUAUUUGACGAAUUGGCUUAAAUGCAAGCUCUUCAACAAGGGUCCCCAAACUAAGGCCCAUGGGCCGGAUAAGGCCUGAGGGACUCGUUUAUCCAUCCCGCGGUGACCCCCGCUACUGCCGCCCACUCUUACCAGCGCUGCGCUGUGCGGCUGCCCACUUCCGGGUCAGAGGAGCACCGGAAAUAGCUUGUGCUCAUGUGCAAGUGUUAUUUGCGCAUGCGCAAGCAUUAUUUCCAGUGCACACCUGGGUUGGAGGAGGCCCGCGCACAUGCACACCGGGUUGGUGCUCCUCCAACCCGGAAGUGCGCCGGAAAUAGUGUGUGCGCACGCGUAUGGGCACACGCUCUCUGGCCUGCCGCGCGAUUGGUGCCGGAGACACUGGCCAGAGGUGCGGCAAGUUUGCUGACCCCUGCUCUUCAACCUGAUGACGAAUUGGCUCUUCAACCUGAUGCUUAAAUCUCCUUUGAGCCUCUCUUAUGCUAUUCUUAUCUGAUUGGUGUUUCUAGAACACUAAGGAAAAUUCUUCUGGCAGAGGUUUGACAGGCAUCCUCACUUCUGACUUGCAGGCAUCUCUUGAAAACUUUUUAAUGUCAACAGGCCUUUGCGGCUGUUUACAAGUUUCUUGAGUAGGCAAUCAUUUUAAUGAUUGUUCUGUACUGAUUUUCUUUCUUUCUUUCUUUCAGAGUUCUUAUAUUGCUUCACAAAUUUAUGAGUGG